rnacentral:misc_RNA from 1 species
AACGCAUAUUGCGCUCGACCCCUCGGGGAAGAGCAUGUCUGCCUCAGCGUCGGUUUUACCCCUCAUCUCUCCUAUAUUUAUAUAGGCCUGUGGUUUUGCUCAAAACCACAUUUGAGAUGGAUCUGACCUCCCCAACAUGUGCAAACAAGUUGGGUUGGUUGAAGCAUAGAGACUUGAACGAGGACCCGAAACGGGCUUCAACUGGAUAGGUAGACCCAAUGCGUCAAGCAUUGACUACACGAAAGUUGAGCUUGUGGACCUUGUUGGGAGUCAAGCAGGAAACCAAUCAAACUUUCGACCUGAGCUCAGGCAAGGCUACCCGCUGAACUUAA